rnacentral:misc_RNA from 1 species
UAACCCUCAAGCUCCGCUUGGUAUUGGGCCCGCGCCGGUCUCCCGGCGGGCCUCAAAAUCAGUGGCGGCGCCAUCUGGCUUCAAGCGUAGUAACUUCUCUCGCUCCGGAGACCCAGGCGGCGGCUUGCCAGCAACCCUCAAUCUUCA